AGAAUCUGGGUCCACCUCCCACCCGUGUUUAUUUUACCUUGUUGCUUCGGCGGGCCCGCCUUAACUGGCCGCCGGGGGGCUUACGCCCCCGGGCCCGCGCCCGCCGAAGACACCCUCGAACUCUGUCUGAAGAUUGUAGUCUGAGUGAAAAUAUAAAUUAUUUAAAACUUUCAACAACGGAUCUCUUGGUUCCGGCAUCGAUGAAGAACGCAGCGAAAUGCGAUACGUAAUGUGAAUUGCAAAUUCAGUGAAUCAUCGAGUCUUUGAACGCACAUUGCGCCCCCUGGUAUUCCGGGGGGCAUGCCUGUCCGAGCGUCAUUUCUGCCCUCAAGCACGGCUUGUGUGUUGGGCCCCGUCCUCCGAUCCCGGGGGACGGGCCCGAAAGGCAGCGGCGGCACCGCGUCCGGUCCUCGAGCGUAUGGGGCUUUGUCACCCGCUCUGUAGGCCCGGCCGGCGCUUGCCGAUCAACCCAAAUUUUUAUCCAGGUUGACCUCGGAUCAGGUAGGGAUACCCGCUGAACUUAAGCAUAUCAAUAAG
rnacentral:rRNA from 1 species